rnacentral:piRNA from 1 species
CUAGUAGAUUGCUGUUUAUAUGUAUGUAA